ensembl:lncRNA novel transcript
AGAGUGGUGCUGACAUUGGGAUUAGGAUCUGUUCUAUGAGACCGUGACCAGCUGAUAAAUUGAAGUGGUAAUUUGGGAUUUAACCAAACAGAGCAGUAAAUGUAUCAGAAUGAUGAAAAUCCAAGACGAGAAAAGACUGGAGGAACCAUACAAGUUGGUAAUACAGCAAUUCACUGUACGAUUUACAAUGGUGCAUUAGCAACCCAGCAGCAGUGUGAUGUCAGAGCCUCAAAAAGACGUAUGCAAGAGAAGCAACUGGGCCUGGUUCUGCUGCCCUGGCCCCCAGUCAAGGCUGCUUAAAUGUCACCAACUCCAGUCCUGCUCUGUUCCACAGCUAGUCCUGGCUGUGAUUUUCUCCCAAAUAGGACACAGAUAUUAACUAAGGUUCUGGAAAGAGGAAGCAAAAGAAAGAGAAAAAGCAAACUACUGAAUGCACUAAACAUUUUUUUAAAGUUUUAUUGAAAGGAAAAUAGAGGUUAACUUGAAGGACCUAAGAAUUUGUUUUUCUCUGUACAAAGCAAAUAUGUCAGUUGCAUGCCGA